ACCUGGGUGGCUCAGUCGGUUGAGCGUCCGACUUUGGCUCAGGUCAUGAUCUCACUGUUUGUGGGUUCGAGCCCCGCAUCAGGCU
rnacentral:tRNA from 1 species